GAAAGGGUGACCGGACGUGGGGAGGAAGCGUGAAGCGAAACUGCGAGCCGAUGGACAAGGCUAACCGGAUAAAAGGCGUUGCCGAACAGGGCGAGCGGGCAUGUAACCGCGAAGCUCUCGCGCUUAAGGGUCAGGCGGCGUAGAUGCGGCGGUUGUGCGAUGAAGGAGUGGGUU
rfam:Candidatus Burkholderia pumila strain TZHbot3 BPMIctg64, whole genome shotgun sequence.